UACCUUUGCCCCCGAUUUAAAAAAUACAUAAUAAUCAUUUAAAACAAUAUUGGAAUG
ncrna:Capnocytophaga gingivalis ATCC 33624 S15-Flavobacteria ribosomal protein leader